UACGGAGGGUGCAAGCGUUAUCCGGAUUCACUGGGUUUAAAGGGUGCGUAGGUGGGCUGGUAAGUCAGUGGUGAAAUCUCCGAGCUUAACUUGGAAACUGCCAUUGAUACUAUCAGUCUUGAAUACCGUGGAGGUUAGCGGAAUAUGUCAUGUAGCGGUGAAAUGCUUAGAUAUGACAUAGAACAUCAAUUGCGAAGGCAGCUGGCUACACGAAUAUUGACACUGAGGCACGAAAGCGUGGGGAUCAAACAGG
rnacentral:rRNA from 1 species